CAGUAGUCAUCAGGCAUUUCUGGGAGUUGGGAAGCAUGUCGAUGCUGUACCUGGACACUCUGGAUAGGGCAGGAUAAGGAAGCAUUGGGAAUAUGAUUAGCAGCAGUAAUCGGAUAUACACCUGUCCAGACAUUACAUAGCGUGCUGCUAUAGAGUCACUGGACGGUGGGAGCAUUACAAUGAUUUGUGGGACAAACCGGGCCUUGUGACGCUAAUUAUCUUCUGGAGCCACAUGGUGCAAUCUAUAUUAAGAAGAAUAUUUCAUGAAUAAAGUGCGGAAAAUCAUCACGUUCAGUGGCGCACAUCGACAUAAAAAAAUGAAUUCUUACGGGAGGACUCUCGAUUGAACUCGACAGCUAGACCAUUCAUCUCGGAAUGCUCAGGGGAAUGGGACCAAUGUAUCUGGUUCAAGACGUCCCCUCUCUCUUUCCCAAUCAUCACCUGCUAGCUUCCAUAAUCUGGUUAAUGACAUAACAUCUUCGGAGUGUGGGAGUGGAAGAUAAUACAGCAAUUAAUUAUUGGAGUUCCCAUUAUUGUGGACCAUUCGAACAUUCAAAGAAAAAUCAUAAAAAAUGAAGAGAAAGAUUUGUUAAAGAAAAAUUAUCUGUGUUUAUCCUGGAAUCCUGACAUUUCAGAGAAUGAAAGCUGAAAAAAAUUUCUAACGUCUAAACGUUUUUCAAGAACGAAAGAACUGAUAAGAAAAAAAUGUUGAGAGUAAAAAAAUAUCGGAAUGAAAGUAUUCCAUUCAUCUGAAAACCUCUUUGGAGAAUCAUUUCCAGAUUCAUUAAAAUUUUCGUAAGAAAAAAAAUUAUCAAAAUUUUGAUAUGUAUUUUCAUGUUUGGGGGUUUUGAAUAUUUUGUAGAAGUUUUUCACUACCUCUAUAUAGUUGACGCACUUUUUUAAUACUCUUUGUGCGUUUCAUUGAAUUUGGAAAUGUCGAUUAAUGCCCAAUAAUGUGGGACCCAAUGAUUUUGUGAUAUUCUGUGGGAUAUACCAAUUUUCUCUAUGGAGAAGGCUACAUCGAGAUUAUUUGGAGACAUUGAUGUAGUUAUUAAUGCAUUUAUUGUCAUUAAAUAAGGAUUUAACAUUGUAACAGUAUCAUAUAACAGUCAUCACUAAUUUUAGGUCAGACAAGAGGUCAAUACUAUUGUUCAUACCUUUUUAGAUACAGUGGCUAUUUUACUAUUUCAUCAAUUGAUCUCCUGAUUGAUCCGCUAUUGUUAUUGCUUGAUCAGAUAUUAUUAUCAUUAGUAUUAUUAUUGACAGAUCAGAUAUUAUGAUUAUUAUAUAUUAAAGAAAUACCUUCGAUUGUCCCCGAGAGCCAGCGGUUUGGGAGUACCUAGUUUUUUUGUCUUACUUUUUCAUUUUCUUUGCGGCGAGGAAUUUCUAAAAACUAUUUUGAUAAAGACAGUACCCAGCCAACAAUUCACUGAUCAAUUAUCGGAUAUCUGGCAGUCCUCAUGGAAACUUCAACAUUGCAUCGGAUGAAAUUGUUGCCUGGGUAGCAGUAGUAGAGGUAGAGGUAGAGGUAUGCAUCGAUGCGCAGGAGAUUUGAAGAAUUUUUGGUAUUCAUUUUUUUUAUUAA